ACAGCUCCCUUCCCUUUUCAUUCUCUCUCCGAUUUUGGAUCUGGAUGUGCUUUGUCUUUGCCUUGCGUUCACCAUAAGCCAGUACUCCAUCGCUAUUCGAGACACCUUCUCUCAGAUGGUUAACAUGGUGGGGGAUGGGGAUGACUAUUUCAGACACCUUCCUCCUGAUGUAACAUGUUAGAGACACCUUAGUCGCCGCAUUUUCGCUUCAAUUCAGCAUAGCUGGUGCUCCAAACGAAUUUCACUCACAACAGUCAUGCAUGAUAUUGGUAACAGGAGGCACAUCCAGAAUGCAGUUUACGGGUUCCUGCAAUUGUGACUGCUCUCGAGAAGGUGGAGCUCACACCUAAGUUUCGAGGAUCUGAGAUCAUUCAACUUCAAGAUUUUAGAACUGCUAUUUGAAGAUAUUGCAAGUGUGCAUUCCAGAUCUUAUGUUUUUGGCCUUGAGAAGGUAACAGAUGUUCAUUAGACGUAGCAAUUUCGACAUGUUUACUUAAAAUCGGGUCGGUUUUUGCUUUAUUUAGACGUGCAUUCUAUAUCUAUAGGCAAUGGAGCAGGCUUCAGACCAAGGCUUUAUACAUAUUAGUCGAGUUUUAAUAUUGUAGAUUUCUUUUUGCAUGUUUUGGUUAUUUUAUUUUAUUUUUAUGGGGCUCAAUAAGACCUGUAAUUUAAUUUCUAACUGUAACUGGUACCCUUAAAACUUCAAAAGAACUGUUGUAGACUAAGUAGAAUUCCUUUUUCUUUGAUUUCCUUGAUCAUCCAACCUCAUUCAUAUCAUG